rnacentral:SRP_RNA from 1 species
GCUGGGCACAGUGGUGCGUGACUGCAGUCCCAGCUACUUGGGAGGCUGAAGUGGGAGGAUCGCUUGAGCCCAGGAGUUCUGGGCUGUAGUGCGCUAUGCCAAUCGGGUGUCUGCACUAAGUUUGGCAUCAAUAUGCUGACCUCCUGGGAGCGGGGGACUCCCAGGUUGCCUAAGGAGGGGUGAACCGGCCCAGGUUCAAAACGGAGCAGGGCAAAACUCCCGUGCUGAUCAGUAGUGGGAUCGCGCCUGUGAAUAGCCACUGCACUCCAGCCUGGGCAACAUAGAGAGACCCCCUCUCU